rnacentral:lncRNA from 7 species
AGAAGAUUGGUUUAGAUGCUGUGAAUAGAGGUGCCUUGAUACCACGAUGACAAAUGCAGGGGGGGAAACACAUAAAGAAAAUAACGACACCAGCAGAUACAAACAGCUGUACUGGCUUCCUGUUUGCAUCUGGCUGCAAGUCAAGUUGCUGAGAUAGCUCUCUAACAUCUUGCGUGGCUGGAGUCCUGUUCUGCUGUGGCUGCCUCAACUUCAUGGUGUGAACACAGGCUCAGAGAAGCCCUGCUGUCACUGCAGCACGCUUAUUUUGAAGAUAAGUGUGAAUCAGCAUGCUGUUCUUAUAGGCAAAGAAGUAGCAGCAAGAAAUCUCAGACUAUGCAAGAGGAUCAUGACCUGGCAAUCAGAGGAUUUCUGCACUGAUCCAAGCCAGAAAAAUGCUACUUUGCUUGGUGGACACUUCCCAUGGAUUUCUUACACAUCCACAUCCAAGGAGUGGAUCUAUCUGUCACGCACACCAAGCUGCUAACGCCCGUGUGGUCUUGGUAGGAAAAUGCAAAGGAAAUCCAAAAGUGCUGGCCUUGACUCCCUUCCUCACUGUCCUUCCAUACCUGCUCUGCCUUGGCUUUGUGCCCUGCUCCCUCCCUAGCGCUCUUAUCUCCCACUGAACCUGAGAAACAAAUGCUUGUGGAAGCUAAGUCGUCCCCAGCUGUUCGCUCUGUUCCUGAGCUCCCUUCCUCCCUCUCAUUCCUUUUGGAUCUGUUUCUAAACUUUUUGGGGCAGCAACUACUUUUCUGCAUGCAACAUCAAUGGACACUGUUCUUGGCUGGCCUCAAGGCACAACUGGAAUAAAUGUGAAUAACAACAACAGUGACAAAAAGUAUCAACAUUGGUAAUGACAGUAAUAAUUAUUAUUGUUAUUAUUAUACAGUCAACCAGACUGACUUGGUAAUUAUUUGCAUAAUUUGUAUAUAUAAUUUGCAUAAGCAGAAUAAAAGACUGUUCUCAUAUC